rnacentral:piRNA from 1 species
UUAUGGACUAGAUAAAUUUAUGUAC